rnacentral:rRNA from 1 species
CAGUCGCCGCGGUAAUACGAAGGGGGCUAGCGUUGUUCGGAUUUACUGGGCGUAAAGGGCGCGUAGGCGGACUGAUAAGUCAGGGGUGAAAUCCCAAGGCUCAACCUUGGAACUGCCUUUGAUACUGUUUGUCUUGAGUUCGAGAGAGGUAAGUGGAACUGCGAGUGUAGAGGUGAAAUUCGUAGAUAUUGGGAAGAAUACCGGUGGCGAAGGCGGCGACCUGUCCUUGACUGACGCUGAGGCGCGAAAGCGUGGGGAGCAAACAGGAUUAGAUACCCCGGUAGUCCCUGUCUCUUAUACA